rnacentral:rRNA from 1 species
GAGCCUGUGUCCUAUUAGUUAGUUGGUAGGGUAAUGGCCUACCAAGACAAAGAUGGGUAUCCGGCCUGAGAGGGUGUACGGACACACUGGAACUGAAACACGGUCCAGACUCCUACGGGAGGCAGCAGUGGGGAAUAUUGCACAAUGGGCGCAAGCCUGAUGCAGCGACGCCGCGUGGAGGAUGAAUGUCUUCGGAUUGUAAACUCCUGUUAAGUGGGAAGAAAGACCAGCAUCUAAUACAUGCUGGGGAUGACGGUACCACUAGAGAAAGCACCGGCAAACUUCGUGCCAGCAGCCGCGGUAAUACGAAGGGUGCUAGCGUUGUUCGGAAUGACUGGGCGUAAAGAGCGUGGCGGCGGUUUCUUAAGUCAUCUGUUAAAUCACUCGGCUUAACUGAGUACUUGCAGGCGAUACUGGGAGGCUAGAGUGCAGGAGAGAAAGGUAGAAUUCUCGGAGUAGCGGUAAAAUGCGUAGAUCUCGAGAGGAAUACCGGUUGCGAAGGCGGCCUUUUGGCCUGUUACUGACGCUUGAGCGCGAAAGCGUGGGGAGCAAACAGGAUUAGAUACCCUGGUAGUCCACGCCGUAAACGAUGAUCACUGGAUGUGGGUCUUGCUUAGCAAGGUCUGUGUCGAAGCUAACGCG